rnacentral:lncRNA from 1 species
AUGAUUGGAAAACAAACAGCAUCCAAGGUGCAGAGAACCCUAUCACAGCAAGGAUUGGGGCUCCCAUCAGGAGUCCCAGCUUUCAAGGAAGCUUUCGACGCAAAAUAGGACAACUUCCUAAGGGUGACAGAAGCUCGGACCUCCGAGCUCAAGCCCUGAGGGGGACACCAAACCCGAAUGGCCCCAGGCGAGCCUGCAGCCACCGACG